rnacentral:lncRNA from 1 species
CGUCAACGCUUCCCCAAGCCCCUCCCUCCCGCGCGCUCUUCGCUAUUGUCUCAAACGCUCGAAGUGACAGGAGCCGCAUGCACCGGUAGCGCUCAGGAAAACGACGGAAUUCAGGUGAACUAAAGGUAUAGUCUGUGCAUCUCCAUGGUGUUUUGAUACAGAGCAGGAUGUGACAUCAGCAGUCUUCACGUCUUCUGCUCGUGCGGAUUGGGCAUGAGUGAGGAGCCCUGCCCUCAUUCGCCCAGCUGACCAAUCAGAAUGUUCGAGGUGAAGCCCAUAAGCGUGGAGAAGGACACAGCUGCAGAAACAGAUGAGGGCAGUAAGGUGUGUGACGGGGCUGUCAGCAGCUGCGGAGGGGAUUCGCUGUAUCUUUACGAGGGUCAGGACUGGGUCAUCUCCCCCUCCUGCUCUCUAGAGGAACCCAGCGCCAUCUCACCCAUGCUGGCCGAGGAAACCUUCCGCUACAUGAGUAAGUCUGUUCAUGUGUUUGAAUGUUUGGUUGCUAUUUCUGUCGUGAUUGCCAUUGUUGGGGAAG